GGCUGUAGUUUAGUGGUUAGAAU
rnacentral:siRNA from 1 species